GUCUUUCUGUCCAUUUUUUUAUUUUACCCCUUUAAUUUGAAAUGCAUUUAUUCAAAAUGAUAACUUUUGACAAUUGGACUUCAACAUGUGAGUCAAACGCACAUCGGACACAGGCGGACAGACAGACAGACAGACCAACUAGCACAAACGCACACACAGUGACAUCCUCAGGGGCCUUUAUUGCUGGCCAGCACACAUGGAGGUCAUUUCAACAGCCUGUCUUCCCCUAAAACCCUUAAAUGGCUUUAACAGCGGGCCGAGCUAGACCAGACACAAACUAAACAGGCGCAUGAGUGUGAUUGCACACGUCCAAUGGCACACAGGAGUAUUUCAAGAUACACACACGCAACCAGCCGAGCUCAAGGGGAACGUAUAACAACGGGGAUUACAACUCCGGCAAUUGAAUUACACAUUGGGAGACAUGAGCAGGACUGAAUGCAUAUAUGUCCGCUGUGCUUAAACCUUCUGUCAAACUCAAACGUUGGUGAAGCCAUGGUUGGAAUAUGCGUGGACGAGAUUGACGAUGAGAGCAGAGGGAGGCUGUUAAUUCUUGACGACAGCGGGUUCGAAGAAUUUGUAGACGACACAGGUGACGGAGAAUUUCCCUCGUCGUUUCAAGUCAGUCGACGCGAAACUGGCUUUAUCGGCCAAACAUCACCGGCGGGCGUCCAGCAGAGCAAAGCAAAGGCAGGCGGACCGACUGUUCACGGAGAGGACAACGGAGAGAUUACCGAGUCAUUAUUUAGCCAGGCAUGCGGAAGAGACUUUGCUCGGGGGACGGGAGAAAAUACGUGCAGUGUAGGCGUGCCAUUGAUGUUGGGUCUGGGGCUGUGAGGCCUGCUUUGUUGCUGCGCGUCUGGCUCCAGCAGCUCAUAAAAGUGCAAGGCCAAGCCAUCACCAGUUCGUCAUCGUUGGUUACAAGAAGCCACCUGGCCUGACUGAGGGAAACAACGGUUGGCUGGCUGUCUGCUAAAGCCGAUAGCAGGAAACGCAGCCCUUACACUAAGCACCAAACUCUGGAGCUGGAGAAGGAGUUCCCUUACAACAUGUAUUUAUCGAAACAGCGCCGCCUAGAGAUCAGCCAAAACCUUGACCUAACAGACAGGCAGUUCAAAAUCUGGUUCCAGAAUCGCAGAAUGAAGAUGAAGAAGCAACACCGAAGUUCCAGGGAUACUGUGAAAAACAAAAACAGUGAAAACUGAUUAAACCAAGGACAUAGAAGACUGACCCUCUGAUUCAUUGACUGAAUGACAAAAUCAUUAAAGUUUUCAAAGCAUACAUAGACACACGCACGCACGCACGCACACACACACACACACACACACACACACACACACACACACACACACACACACACACACACACACACACACACACACACACACACACACACACACUCAUACAAAGAUAUAUAAUCAAACACUUAAUAACACACGUUUAAUUCUGUUCCGUGUCACUUGUCCGUUUCAUCAUUGUUAUAUGGAAAUUCCAUUUAUAAUGUAGGCCUACUUUAUAUCCUGUGGGAGCUAGAAUUCAAUUUUUAAUUAAUAAGUUUAUUAGCUUGUCUUUUUGAUGCCCACUUUGAAUUAGCGCACAAUUGGUCACCUUUUUGCUUAUAGUAUUUAGUAAGGCUCCACAUCUAGUACAUUCAGCACUUUUAAAAUAGUCUUGAACAUUGCGUUUCUACGUCUCCAGUGAAGUCAGAGGGGAGCUUUUUGGAUUCCACUGCGUAAAGACAUUAGAACAAAUAUAGUAAUCCCUUGCUGACCCAGCACUUGUGUUACGUAUUGGUACUUGUUACAUCAGAAUAGCAUUGUUUUGCAUGUGUUUAAUUUACACCCAAUAUGUGGCACACAUUUGAUAUAUGCAUGUAUUGCCUGAUAGAAUGCCGGAUAGAUUGAUAACACACAUUCAAUUCGGCUUUCCAAUUUAAUGAUUAAAAUCUUCCAAUGCUUUUUUCCUCGAAGGAAUGUAUUAAUAAAGGAACGCCUAUUCAAAGUUCAGAAAGUGGAGACUUAUUGCACACACUACUUUGCAAACUGAUGCACAGUGCUAUCUAGCUAUUCAUUAAAAAUGUAAAGUAGGACACUGAUAUUCCGUUCGCUAAAUGAAGUGUAGCCUACCGGAUAUUAAACUUUCAUAUUCAGAUCCAGAGGCCACACUGACCAAAUAUUCAAUAAUGAGAGUCUUGAUUAGAGAGAGCCUCAUUGACGUCUAUCUUCAGGUAAUAUUCAAGCUCAUUUAUUUUUUAUUUAUAGUUUUAAUUGAACCAACUUGAGUGUAAAGAUUGCAUUGCCAAAUCAUAGGUUUGAUCUUAUUGUGGUGCCGUAUUCAUCACGGAGAAGCAGUAGAAUUGUAUUGAAAGUGCGGCAUUAAAAAAUAUAGCAUCGGCAUACCAUUCUAAGAUUACAAAUGGGUAUUAUUCUUAAAGACGGAUUCAGCCCGAUCUAUCGUGGUCCAAAUGAAGUAUCUAUGUAAAGGCAUAUUAAACAUGGGUUAUUAUUAUUAUUAUUAUUAUUAUUAUUAUUAAUAGAAGAAGUAGUAGCCUAGUAGUAUACAGUAGAAUUAGUAGUAGUGGUAGAAGAGGCAUAGUAUUAGUAUUAUUAUAUAAACUGUUGUAGUAAUACACCUAUUACGUACUGGAUGAUAUCGUAGCCUACGUUUAAAACAAAUAGUAUUAUAACAAAGAAACUUCAUUAUUCAUUUGAUCAAUGUAGCCUACUUAGCUACCAGCCCAAUCUAUACAUUUAAUUAAAGGAAACAACUAAAUAAAUACUUUAUUCACACAUUGAAUUAUGUAAAAUUUAGGUGAGAGGCUUGGUUUGACCUAGCCUUUUAGUUUUUUGUUUGUUUUUGUUGUUUGAGUGUAUUUCGGGAAAGCCUACUUCUUCUGACUUCUAUAGCGAAAUUCCAUGGACAUCCUGAAGACGCGUGAAGUUGAAAAGCCAAGGUGCAGAUGGCUCACGAGACAUCCGCUUUCCGUGUCUCUGUUUGUGCGAGCGAGAGUAAUAAAAAAAAACCCUUAGGUCCACAGCCACAAAAACACACGCCCAUAAACAUAUUCACACAUUCUUUCUCUUGUUGUCUGCUUUUUGUAAUUGUUUGUACCUGGAAGUCCAAAAGCAGACUCUGGAAUUAUUCAUACGAUUUCAUAAAUUAUUGAGAAUGCCCGAAAGGGGAAGAGCUUCGUUUUUGGAUGGAGUAAAUUUAUUUCCAGUUAUUGAUUUAAUACGUGGUUGAGUGUCAGUGGAAAGAGUGCGUUUUAUGAAUUAUUAACCAUUCAUAAUCAUGGCAUGAUCCCAUUUUUUCGCCGAAAGCCUAUUGGAUUGGCUCGACAUUUUUUUUUUUACCUUAUAACCAAAUAACUCUAUCGUUAUAUUUUACAGACGACCCCGCAUGUGCUACGACUUGAUCCAGCCAUCCGUUUGCACUCAGCCCC
ensembl:lncRNA